AUAUGCAACUGAAAUUGUAAGUCGCAAAAUAAGAUUAACAAUUUGCGAUUUUGUUUACGUUGUGAUGUCACGGAGAAAGGUUUGAAAAGGUGCUGUCCAGCUGAUAGUAGGGAUGGAGUUAGUGAGGGAAAAAGAAUACAUCAUCUGGGACCUCAAAAAUUAAUCAUAGAGCAAAAAAAGUUUAUGCAAAUCGACGUUCGAUGAGAUAGCUGCCACUCUCCCAGAACUGCAUGUUUUCCUCCAUGCAGGGUGUCGUUGGAGGUAAGAAGUGAAAACUCGUGAUGAUUCAAUUUGAUCGCAAUUGUGCAUUAAACUAUCGCUUCAGCAUCGUCCACAGAGGAUUAAGACAUCGUGCUGGGUACCUGUUUGUUUACAUUAACUUUCCGCUAACCAGCUGAUACUUUCCAAUCGCUGUUUGCGAUUCUUCUAGCGACUUGCAAUUUCAGUCACAUAUUGACAAGCGUGAAUUCAGACGAAACCACGCCAAAAAAUCGACAUUAGAAAUCCAGACUUGGCAGAAAAAACAUAUUGAAAAAUAAAAUAGAAAAAUAAAACUGACAAAAUGUUAAAAGUAAAGGAAAAUACAUAAAAGUGAUAAAAAUAAGAAAGUGACUACUUGACAACACAGGUGAAAGACGGCCAGCUGGUCCAGAGACGAGCAGCUGUCACAAAGCCGGCAGCCGCUUCCGACGCCAUUUUCAGUGUUUCUCUGUCUGUGGUGCUGGCGGCCCUCGCUGCUAUCAGGGAACCAGAUCCAAGUAAAAUCAUGCUGCCCAGAAUGAUAUCCACUGCAAAUAAUGGAUCAGCAGAAUUUGCCCCUCUGCAGAGAGUGAAGAGAAGUGCCUCACCAACCAUGCAAGUGUCUCGCUCGGUGUCGCUGCCGCCGCUGGUCCAAGUCAUGUGAUCAGGUGCAAGUUGUCUGAGCACUGGUUUCUGAUUGGAAGGUUAAGGAGGUGGCCACUCUGAGUUUAAGGCUGGUGCUGCUCUCCAGGACCUUACUAUGCAGGUGUUGAGUCACCAAAGCUGUUCUGGAUGAAUGAAGAGACUGUGACACUGCUGCUGGGGAUGCAUUCUUGACGACAUUGCAGGUCACCACUACACAGAGAUCAGUGGCUGGUGUUGACCCUGGUUCGGAAGAGGUCAUGUCACUGUCAAUGUCUGGUUUGAUGUUAAUGAUAUUGACUUUUUAUAUAUUUAUGCUUUUAUUUAUAAAUAGUGUGUCAUAAGUAUAUACAUGCCAUGAGCAUAGUACUCCAUAUUUGGUGAAUACCUUAAGGGUGAAUCUGUCAAAUUCAGUGUGCCACAGCUGUAAGCACCGGCAAUGCUGAAGCACCAUUAAUCAGUGGAAACAUAUGAAGCACACCACUUUGAAAUUACAUGAUAUUUUAUUUUGUCAGUUACAAUUUGUGAUUAACCCCUUCAGCACAGCCCAAAAAAACUCCUUCCGCGGCAACAUACAGCUCGUGCUCCUUCCCACCUCGCCCUCCCCCACUGUGUUUGCCCCACAACCAUAUUUACAUAAUUUGCUCCCAUUGUCAUUUUCUUUCAUAUAAUUCGUGUAUGAAUACAGAAAACUUGAUAAUAUGAAUUUUUCCUCCAUGAUAAACAUACUAAACAUAGUAAACAUAAUGAGCAUUGCAACAUAAUAAACAACAAUGUAUAUGUCUGCUCUUACCUGUCUCCAGAUGUUUGUUGUUGCUGGUGGGUGAUGAUAGGUGGUGAUGAUGAGGGGGUAACUUCACUGUCCCUUGCAGGCAGCCCCACUGGGACCUGCCUUGUGACCUGCUGCUGGGUUAGCUCUGUGCCAUUCAAAGAAGUGUUCUUGGGAGCAUAGUCCAGGCUCACCAGGACAACCAGGGCAGUGAUAGACUGUGCCUAGCUGGAUAGAGCAGAUACGACACUUCUUUUGUUUCUUUGGCUGGAAACAAACCAAGGCAUGAAUCAAGUCAGCUUUAGGCACCUUCUUCCUAGGUCUGUGUAUCUUUUCCUUCUCUUCUUUCUUGAACAUGGCCCUAGCACCGGCACUAUGAUGGCCUAUCAACUCCUUGCUGACUUGAAUGAUGUACAUCAUAAAAUUGCCCUUGUAUCUUUGCUGAUUCUUGUAGGCCAGGAAGGAGUUCAGCAACAUCUGGAAGAUGAAAUGAAUCCCCAGCUUCUUGAACCAGGCAAGGGACUUUUUGCCAUAGGCAUAUGGUUCAAGGAGCUGGUCAGCCAUAUCUACACUGCCCAUCAGGCUGUUAUACUUUUCAAUGUGGAGUGGUUUAUUAUAAAAGACAGUCUCGUCUCCAAAGAAGGUCUUUGUCUUCUCCACAAUGCCAGCAGUAUACGGAGUUGUGAGUACAUUGACUUCCUUUCUAUCCAUGUAUUUCACAACCAGAGUGUUUCCAUUUCUCGCGAAUGUAACCUGGUGUCGUGUGAGUUUUCCAUUCUUGAGCAUCUUGGGUGGUCCUCUGUCGGCACGCACAACUCCAGUGAGUAAGGUGUCCCUGGUGAGUAGGUACCUACCAAGCCACAAACUUGUAUACCAAUUGUCUGUCACAACAUGUCGACCCUUGUCCAGCAGGUCACCCAAAAGGUGCACUACCACUAGUUCUGACAUGGAUAAGUCCGUGGAAGCACUGUCAGGUAGGGAGAAACAAGAGUCCUUCCCAUAAUAAAUUUCAAAAUUCCAUGAAUAGCCACUACAAUUUGUAGGUGAGGGGCACAGAACGAACACCUUGAUCCCAAAACGUGAACGUUUUGUCUUGAUAAAUUGCUUGAAUCCAAGUCUGCCCUUCCACAGCAGCAAUGCUUCGUCUACAGCAAUGUCUUUGCCUGGUGUAAGCAAAGUCUGGCUUUGUUGCCGCAGCAGGUUGAGGAAAGGCUCUACUCUGGAUUUGGGGCUGUUUUUCUUCACCUCGUCAGGGCUGGCAAACCUUAGGAACUUGAGAAGGCACAGAAAUCUUGAAUGAGUCAUUACCUCCUUGCAAAAAAUCUUAGGGCCACCUACCAUGAAGUCUUUUGCCCAGUACAUGUACAUACGGGGCAUUUUAUUUACCCCCAUAACCAUCAACAAACUCACAAACACUUACAUAUCAUUACUAUUCAUAGGCCUCCAUAACAGUCCAUUCACCUUAUGUUUUUUUGUCAUGGUAAAAUACUCAGCAGCUCUUUUGUUCAUCUAAUCACAAAGCUUAUCUAUAAUUUCAAUGUCAAAAAAAUAGCAAAAGGCUUCAUGUGGGCAGGCAAACUCUGGUAAGUGGGACGUAACUCUCUCAUCACCACAAAACACAGGCAGUGAGUCAGGCCGCACGUCACGAAAAGGGUCUGACAUGAACCCGCCAUCCCUUGUCAACCACAGCCUCACUUUCAUCCAAUAAUUCAUUAUCACUAUCAUUUUCUAAAUCACUGUCACCACUCUUAUAACUUUCAUCACUACACGCCUCAUCAGAGCUCCCUGGCAAGUACUCUGAGCCAGAAUCUGAAAGCUCAUCACUAGACAUUGUGCUGAAAAUAUGAAACAACGCUUUGUGUUUUACAAUCCAAAAUGGCUAGGUGUAGGGAGCACAAAAAAACCACAAUCCUAUAUGUAUGGGGCCCGCAGGCAAACUGAGGAGGUAGGCUGUGAGAGGUUGCAAGCACGCCACACGUGGCAUGUGACGCCACCCGACGUCGUUGACAAAUUAGCAUGUCAUUGGGUCCCAGGAUUGUGGGUGGAGCUUGAGAAACCCUCAGAGCACAAUACAGUAUCAACAAACUAUAAACAUCCACCCAGCGUGCUAAAACAUGUUAUUUUAGCCAUUAAGAUUGCAAAUGAAAAGGACGUACACGAAUACGUCCCUGUACUGUGUACGGAGUGAGGAAAAAUGUACAUGUGUACGUCCCUGUGCUGAAGGGAUUAAAGGAACUUGCUUCACUUGUAAAAAGAUGAAAAUAUAGGAGUAGAUUAGAAGAAGAAGUCUUUCCUGUGGUUACAUGGUUAUCACAUUGCUCUGUGUUGACAUUAGUAUUGGUCCAGUGCCAUAGGAAAGUGUAACAAACAUUUACUGCAGCCAUGUGGUAACAACAGUAGUGAUGGCUUCACUUUAAAGUAGCCGUGUACUGCUUCAAUUUAUAUACUUAAACAAAAAGAUA